rnacentral:rRNA from 1 species
CCUACGGGUGGCAGCAGUGAGGAAUAUUGGUCAAUGGGCGUAAGCCUGAACCAGCCAAGUAGCGUGAGGGAUGAAGGCCCUAUGGAUUGUAAACUUCUUUUAUAAGGGAAUAAAGUGUGGGACGUGUCCUGUUUUGUAUGUACUUUAUGAAUAAGGAUCGGCUAACUCCGUGCCAGCAGCCGCGGUAAUACGGAGGAUCCGAGCGUUAUCCGGAUUUAUUGGGUUUAAAGGGAGCGUAGGUGGGCUUUUAAGUCAGUGGUGAAAGUCUGUGGCUCAACCAUAGAAUUGCAGUUGAAACUGGGAGGCUUGAGUAUGUUUGAGGCAGGCGGAAUGCGUGGUGUAGCGGUGAAAUGCUUAGAUAUCACGAAGAACCCCGAUUGCGAAGGCAGCCUGCUAAGCCAUGACUGACGCUGAUGCACGAAAGCGUGGGGAUCAAACAGGAUUAGAUACCCGAGUAGUC